rnacentral:rRNA from 1 species
UUUUUUGCUGCCAGUCGCGGCAAAUAUUUGGCAGAGUGUGGGAACAGUGUGGGGCAGUGCUGGGCGGCCUGCGGUGGCUCUGGGUUUUGGCCGGCCAGGAGGCUUCUGCCGAGGUGCUCCAUUUUGGGCCCGCGGUUACCCAUACAAAUACCAAGUCAAAGCAUGUUUCCCAUACUA